CACCCAAAACCCUUUGUUCUCUUUCAUCCUCCUCGUUUUUGUUUUUGAUCCUCUUCAUCAUCGUUUCUCUUUCAUCCUCCUCGUUUUUUUUGCUUCUCUUCAUCAUCGUUUCUUGAAGCAGGCGAAUUGGAGGUUGACAUUUCUGAAUCGGAUAUUUGGGCUCUGAAACUGGAGACAAAGAGAAAUUGGCGAAUGUCGUUUAUGAAUUUGUGAGAAGAACCAGAUUUGGGAUACAGCUGGACAGGAAAGAUUUCAGAGUCUAGGUGUUGCUUUCUACCGUGGUGCAGACUGCUGUGUUCUUACUUAUGAUGUCAAUGUCAUGAAGUCUUUUGAGAACCUCAAUCGUUGGAGGGAGGAGUUUUUAUUACAGGCAAGCCCAAGUGAUCCUGAUAACUUCCCGUUUAUUUUGCUGGGGAACAAGAUAGAUGUUGAUGGUGGGAGCGGCAAAGUGCAAUAUAUUACAGGCAAUAUGUAUUGCAUCUAUGAAUUCUGCAAAUUCAUGGUUACUGAUGACAAGGCACAUGCAGGGUAUAUUGACAAAUGAAAUGAAGUGUCUGAGGUGUGAGACCGUCACAGCUGGAGAUGAGACAUUCUUCGGUUUAAGUCUUGAUAUAGAAUAGAACAUCUCCGCCCAAGGAUGGUACAUAUAUUCGAGAAUUACAAGCUUCUUUUAAUAUGUGAAGAUUUACAGGGUUUUUGACACAUAAAUAUUAGAUAGGUUUUAAAAGUUAGAGUUAUUGGACCAUGAUUGCAAAAUGUGCGGGAUUUAGUUUUAGAACAUUUUUUUUUUUA